GACAUAGGUGGCGAACGUUAUCCGGAAUUAUUGGGCGUAAAGGAUGCGUAGAUGGUAGAGUAAGUUAUUGGUAAAUGUCAAACUCAAUUUAACGGAAGCUAGUAAUACUGUUCUACUCGAGGAUAGAAGAGGUUGAUGGAACUCUAUGUGGAGGGGUGAAAUCCAUUGAUCUGUAGGGGAACACCAAAAAAGGCGAAGGCAUUCAACUAUUCUAUUCCUGACAUUGAGGCAUGAAAGCGUGGGUAGCAAACCGG
rnacentral:rRNA from 1 species